rnacentral:rRNA from 1 species
AUUGAACGCUGGCGGCAGGCCUAACACAUGCAAGUCGAGCGGAUGAAGGGAGCUUGCUCCUGGAUUCAGCGGCGGACGGGUGAGUAAUGCCUAGGAAUCUGCCUGGUAGUGGGGGAUAACGUCCGGAAACGGGCGCUGAUACCGCAUACGUCCUGAGGGAGAAAGUGGGGGAUCUUCGGACCUCACGCUAUCAGAUGAGCCUAGGUCGGAUUAGCUAGUUGGUGGGGUAAAGGCCUACCAAGGCGACGAUCCGUAACUGGUCUGAGAGGAUGAUCAGUCACACUGGAACUGAGACACGGUCCAGACUCCUACGGGAGGCAGCAGUGGGGAACAUUGGACAAUGGGCGAAAGCCUGAUCCAGCCAUGCCGCGUGUGUGAAGAAGGUCUUCGGAUUGUAAAGCACUUUAAGUUGGGAGGAAGGGCAGUAAGUUAAUACCUUGCUGUUUUGACGUUACCAACAGAAUAAGCACCGGCUAACUUCGUG